CAGAGUAGAUUUCAGUGCGUAAAGUGUUUUACAGACGGGGAGUUGCUGUAAAAACGAAAGAGGAUUUCUUCUGCGGUACCGGAAUCGCAUCCCGCUGU
rnacentral:ncRNA from 1 species